rnacentral:tRNA from 1 species
UACAUACUUGCUCAAUGGUAGAGCAUUAUCCUCUAAAGAUAACUGUUACAGGUUCGACUCCUGUGUAUGAAUC